UAACGAAGCAAGAACCAGUCGGCGACGGAGACUGAAAAUGUCGAAGAAGAACGAUCUUGGUCGCCGGAAAAGGCAGCACGAAUUCGAACUCAGAAGAGAGAAAGAAGAGAAAGAAAAGAGGGCAAAAAAGCUUCAAGCAAAGAAGAACAAGAUGAAAGUGGAUGGUACUGAGAAGAAGAAGGGUGGGUUUCACGUGGGCAAGAAGAAGUUGAAGACUAAAAUGACCGCAUUGGCAAAGGCUAAAGCUGCCCAAGCAAUGGAGGUUGACAAAUGAGGUUCACUGAUAAUGAUUCUCUGUGCAUGUUAAGAACUGGUUAUGUGUUUACUUUAAGAUAUGCAAUUUCAGUUUCUCCAAUUUUGUUGGUUAAUCUUACAAUUUUGCUACAGCCAAUUUGCUUACAAGGACAAUGUCCGGUGUUAGGUGGUAACAUUGAGUUGUCAAGACAAUACCAUAACUCUGUGCUUGCCCUUUCUCUGUUAAUGUAGAUUAAUAGUUACGAAUUAGAGGUUGAUUAACUGAGACAGAUCACCUUGAACUGUGUUAGAGGGCAUGUGCUGCAUGUCAGUAAUUGAAGCUGUUAUUUUAUAUGUUACCUUAUUCUUUUAGAUCCU